rnacentral:rRNA from 1 species
AGGACGAACGCUGGCGGCGUGCUUAACACAUGCAAGUCGAGCGGAAAGGCCCUUCGGGGUACUCGAGCGGCGAACGGGUGAGUAACACGUGAGUAACCUGCCCCUAGCUCUGGGAUAGCUCCGGGAAACCGGGAUUAAUACCAGAUACGACCACUUUAGACAUCUGUCGUGGUGGAAAGGAUUCCGGCUAGGGAUGGGCUCGCGGCCUAUCAGCUUGUUGGUGGGGUAACGGCCUACCAAGGCGACGACGGGUAGCCGGCCUGAGAGGGCGACCGGCCACACUGGGACUGAGACACGGCCCAGACUCCUACGGGAGGCAGCAGUGGGGAAUAUUGCGCAAUGGGCGAAAGCCUGACGCAGCGACGCCGCGUGGGGGAUGAAGGCCUUCGGGUUGUAAACCCCUUUCAGCAGGGACGAAGCGAAAGUGACGGUACCUGCAGAAGAGCGCCGGCUAACUACGCGCCAGCAGCCGC